AUUGGGGCUUAGAACACAAUGCUUAAGAGUAGAACCCAACGCAGGUUCUUUCCUAUACGAAAAAGCACAUAAUUUCUCUUCUCUAAGACUUCAAAUCAAAAAGUAGAAGCUGAAGAUUGAACAGAGGAAGUUGAAGACUGAAGAGAAGAGCUCAAAAUCAAAAGAGAUGAGUUGAUUCUCUUCUCCAAAAUCGGAAUAGCUGAGUUGAGUUGAGCUAAUGUUGACGAACUAGGGAUCGAUUGAGGAACUGAAGAUCGAAGAUUUGAAGCUUAAAACCAAUUUCAUCAAGCAUGAUGGAAAUUUACAAGCUGAGUCAAGUUCUGGAUCAUUUUGGGUUCUGUUUGGUGGCUUUGCCCCAAUUAGCAAAAAGGUUGCUACCGAUGAUGAUAUCG
rnacentral:lncRNA from 1 species